rnacentral:rRNA from 1 species
GAUCAAGCUACUAAGGGCUUGUGGUGAAUGCCUUGGUGCCAGGAGGCGAUGAAGGACGUAGCAAGCUGCGAUAAGCCACGGGAAGCCGCUGAGCAGGCCGUGAUCCGUGGAUUUCCGAAUGGGGCAACCCGGUCUCGAGCAAUCGGGAUCAUCGACCGGAUGAAUGCAUAGUCCGGCGAAGCUAUACCCGCUGAAGUGAAACAUCUCAGUAAGCGGUGGAAAAGAAAACGAAGUGAUUCCGUAAGUAGUGGCGAGCGAAAGCGGAACAGCCCAAACCGGGGGGACUUGUCUCUCCGGGGUAGAGGGGACUCUAUGCCUGAAGGCGAUGGGCAGGUGGAAGGCGAGCUUAAUCUUCUGGAAAGAAGAGCCAUAGACCGUGACAGCCGGGUGAGCGAAGUCCGAAGCCGUCCAACGAGUUACCCAAGUAGCACGGUGCACGUGGAACUCUGUGCGAAUCUGUCCGGACCACCGGAUAAGGCUAAAUACUCCCUGGCGACCGAUAGUGAACCAGUACCGUGAGGGAAAGGUGAAAAGAACCCCUUUGAGGGGAGUGAAAUAGAACCUGCAACCAUAAGCCUACAAUGUGUGGGAGUCCCGCCUUCGGGCGGGAUGACCGCCUGCCUUUUGCAUAAUGAGUCUGCGAGUUGUUGUCCGCAGCAAGCCUAAGCGGUUCUGCCGCGGAGGCGAAGGGAAACCGAGUACGAAUAGUGCGUCAAGUUGCGGGCAAUAGACCCGAAGCGGAGGUGAUCUACCCUUGAGCAGGUUGAAGCCCGGGUAAUACCGGGUGGAGGACCGAACUCGUGGAUGUUGAAAAAUCCUGAGAUGACUUGAGGGUAGGAGCGAAAGACUAAUCAAACCCUGUGAUAGCUGGUUCUCUCCGAAAUAGUUUGAGGGCUAGAGUCGGGUAAGUACUCGGCGGAGGUAGAGCACUGGAUGGCUUAGGGUCCCCACCAGGAUACCAAAACCAAUCAAACUCCGAAUUCCGUCGAUCCCAUUAUCCCGGCAUUCAGACGGUGGGGGAUAAGCUCCAUCGUCGAGAGGGCAACAGCCCAGACCGCCGGCUAAGGUGCCUAAAUGCCGUUAAGUGGAAAGGAUGUGACGUUGCUUAGACAGUGAGGAUGUUGGCUUAGAGGCAGCCAUCAUUUAAACAGUGCGUAACAGCUGACUCAUCGAGCGAUGUCGCGCCGAAAAUGAUUGGCGAUCAAACGGCAUACCGAAGCCGCGGGUCUGGUCCGGAUUCGUCCGGGCCGGGCGGUAGGAGAGCGUGACCGGUGCAGUGAAGCCCGACCGAAAGGGAAGGUGGAGCGCCGGCCAGUGAGAAUGCAGACACGAGUAGCGAUAAACCAGAUGAGAAUUCUGGUCGCCGUAAACCCAAGGUUUCCUGGGGCAGGUUCGUCCUCCCAGGGUUAGUCGGGAGCUAAGGCGAGGCCGAAGGGCGUAGCCGAUGCACAGCAGUUUAAUAUUCCUGCACCGAUUUGGGUUAAGGCCUGGAAUGACGCAGAGAGCGAGGUGGUUACGUCACCGAAAGACUGAGCCUAGGCUUCGGCCGAAGCGCACCACCAACCAAUCUGCCGAGAAAAGUUCCAGGUCGUUCCCCAGGUCGCCCGUACCGGAAACCGACACAGGUGGGUGGGUGUGAAUGCACCAAGGCGCGCGAGAGAAACCUCUCUAAGGAACUCGGCAAAUUAGCCCCGUAACUUCGGGAGAAGGGGUGCCGGCGGCGCGGCAGCGAUGUUGCGUCUCCGGUCGCAGUAAAUUGCGCUUAGCGACUGUUUAACAAAAACACAGCUCUCUGCAAAGUCGUGAAGACGACGUAUAGGGAGUGACACGUGACCAAUGCGGAAAGAUGAAGGUGCCUUGUUAGUUCUGCGCAAGCAGGGCGAAGCUAUGGUACCCAAGUCCCCGUGAAUGUCGGCCGUAACUAUAACGGUCCUAAGGUAGCGAAAUUCCUUGUCGGGUAAGUUCCGACCUGCACGAAUCGUGUAACGACUGAGCGACUGUCUCGGAGAGGUUCUCGGCGAAACUGUAACUGCGGUGAAGAUGCCGCAUGCCCGCAGUAGGACGGCAAGACCCUAUGCACCUUUACUGUAAGCUGGUAUUGGGUUCUGGUUAAUGAUGCGUAGCGUAGGUGGGAGACUUUGAAGCGCGGGCUUAGGUUCGCGUCGAGUCGCAAUGUGAAACACCACUCUUUGUUAAUUAGGAUUCUAACCUCGUCCUGUAAGCCAGGCGGGGGACAGUGCCUGCGGGUCAGUUUGACUGGGGCGGUUUCCUCCCAAACGGUAACGGAGGAGCGCGAAGCUCGGCUCAGCACGGUUGGCAACCGUGCGGUGAGGGUAUGGCUAGAAGCCGGGUUAACUGCGAGACCUACAAGUCGAGCAGGUGCGAAAGCAGGCCCAAAUGAUCCGAUGGUUGAAGGUGGAAUUGCCAUCGCUCAACGGACAAAAGGUACGCUAGGGAUAACAGGCUGAUCGGGCCCAAGAGUUCACAUCGACGGCCCGGUUUGGCACCUCGAUGUCGGCUCAUCGCAUCCUGGGGCUGGAGAAGGUCCCAAGGGUCCGGCUGUUCGCCGGUUAAAGCGGUACGCGAGCUGGGUUCAGAACGUCGUGAGACAGUUCGGUCCUUAUCCACUGUGGGCGUAGGAGGCCUGAGGGGUUCCUUCCUUAGUACGAGAGGGCCGGGAAGGACGCACUUCUGGUGUGGCAGUUGUCCCGUCAGGGGCAGCGCUGCGUAGCCAUGUGCGGAAGAGAUAAGCGCUGAAAGCAUCUAAGCGCCAAGCUCCUCCCAAGAUUUGGCCUCCCUCCCGCGCAAGCGGGACUAAAGACCCCCGGAAGACUACCGGGUUGAUAGGUCAGGCGUGUAAGCGCGGUGACGCGUUUAGCGGACUGAUACUAAUAGGUCGUGCGGCUUGAUCGCGCUCAUC